rnacentral:rRNA from 1 species
CCUACGGGAGGCUGCAGUGAGGAAUAUUGGUCAAUGGCCGGGAGGCUGAACCAGCCAAGUCGCGUGAGGGAAGACGGCCCUACGGGUUGUACACCUCUUUUGUCAGGGAGCAAGGUGCAGGUCGGGACCUGCUGUGAGAGUACCUGAAGAAAAAGCAUCGGCCAACUCCGUGCCAGCAGCCGCGGUAAUACGGAGGAUGCGAGCGUUAUCCGGAGGUAUUGGGUAUAAAGGGUGCGCAGGCGGAGGCACAAGUCAGCGGGAAAAUCGCGGGGCUCAACCCCGCUCCGCCGUUGAAACUGUGUCCCUUGAGUGCGCGAAGGGUAGGCGGAAUGCGUGGUGUAGCGGUGAAAUGCAUAGAUAUCACGCAGAACUCCGAUCGCGAAGGCAGCCUACCGGCGCGCAACUGACGCUCAUGCACAAAAGCGUGGGUAUCGAACAGGAUUAGAUACCCCUGUAGUC